ACAGACUCAGAAAGGUGGAUGGGCAUGACCAGCAUCCGACCGCCGGGAGAUAAUAAAGCACACACUGACUCUCCUCACCGUGCGCUUCCCACCGCUGAUGCUGGAUUUGGAGAAUGAGAGAUGUGGACACCUACCCAGAUGAGGCAGCUGGAAGGGCAUCUCGCACAGGAGAAACCAGGAGAACAGGUCAAUGUUCGACGAAGGUCAAGGUCUGCAUCUCUGGACUUGGAUUCAGCUGUCAGCUCUCGGCCUCUAAGACAAUUUGAGACACAGCUGCAGCUACACUGGGAGGCCGAGAGACUGCAAGAGAAACAAAGGCUGCGUUUGAUGGGCAACUGGGACAGUUGGAGACAACGAAGCCGCCUCUUUAGACCUAUUUUCCUGAGGUCGAAAAACUCAGGAAGUAAGGAGCCUGCGGAGAACCUGCCCCUCGGGGCAGCCCCCUGAGAAGCACCUUUGCGGCCACUCGGAUCCGUUGCCCGUGGGAAAUUCCUGGAGAACCUCAGUGAGAAGGUGUGCGAUAGCAGGGAUUUGUGCUGGGAU